ACUCUCUUGUCGCUGGCAUUGUUUCCUAGUCGAACUUGUAACGGGUGAACCAGCGUUAGAGCAACAUACCGCACAAGUUGUGCUUUUCGUCUCCUUCUGAUCUUACAGCGGUCGGUUAAGUCUCUCCGAGGGGAUUUUUUUUCUGAGAUUUUAAGUCAGUCAUCCGUAGCAGACAACAUGGAGCUGCAGGCGGUGAUGAUGGCGGCCGGUGGGGGCUCGCGGAUGACCGACCUGACGUACAACACCCCCAAAGCCAUGCUUCCGGUUGCCAACAGGCCCCUGAUAUGGUACCCUCUAAACCUGCUGGAGAGGGUCGGCUUUGAAGAGGUGAUUGUGAUCACCACCAAGGAGGUCCAGAAGAUGAUGAGCACAGACCUUAAACUGAAGAUGGACGUGAAGUUGAAACUGGACUUUGUUUGCAUCCCGGAAGACGAAGACCUGGGCACGGCCGACGCUCUUCGACACAUCCAGCCCAAGAUCAAGACUGACAUCUUGGUGUUGAGUUGCGACGUGAUAACAGACGUGGCGCUUCACGAGGUGGUGGAUCUGUUCAGAGCCCACGAUGCAACUUUGGCCAUGCUGAUGAGCAAAGCCCAUGAAUUCUCAGAGACCGUUCCAGGCCAAAAGGGAAAGAAGAAAGCAGCUGAGCAGCGAGAUUUUGUAGGCGUGGACCAAUCAGGCAAGAGGGUCUUGUUCAUGGCCAACGAGGUGGAUUUGGAGGACGGGCUAUCCAUUAGGAAGUCCAUUUUGAACAAACAUCCAAGGAUGCUCAUCAAAACUGGCCUUCUAGACGCUCACCUUUACUGCAUGAAAAAAGCCGUGGUGGACUUUCUGAACGACAACAAAUCCAUUUCAUCCAUCCGUGGCGAGCUCGUGCCAUAUUUGGUGCGCAAGCAGUUUUCCAAAGCGAGGAGCAGUCCAAAACUGAAAGAUGACAGUGAUGAGCAGAGCCAGACAAAGAGUGACAACUCGACAAACAAUGAGCUCCUGAUCUCGUCACGCGACGAUGGCCUCCUCCAGCUGGCCCAGGAGCGCUCCUGCUGGAACGACCAUCACGGGGACAUGAGCGAGGCGUACCACGGCGGCAAACUCCGUUGCUACGUGCACAUCAUGGAACAGGGCCUCUGCUACCGUGUCAACACGCUCGCCGCCUACAUCGAGGCCAACCGCCUGGUUCCCAAGCUUUUGUUUGAAGAAGCAGCAGUCCACCCUUCUGCCGUCAUUUCGGAGCGAUGUCAGAUGGGAUCCGACAGCAUGAUUGGGGCUCUGUGUCAGAUCGCAGAUAAGACCUCCGUAAAGAGGUCCACCAUCGGAAGCUCCACCGCAAUUAAGGAGAAAGUCCGAGUGACCAACUCUAUCAUCAUGCACGGGGUUACCGUAGAAGAAGGGUGCAACAUCCAGGGUAGCGUGAUCUGCAACAACGCCGUCAUUGGCCGAGGCUCGGACCUCAAAUACUGCCUGGUGGGAAGUGGACAACGGAUCGAACCCGCAGCUGAGCGGACCAAUGAGGUCAUUGUUGGCACAGACCAGCUGAUGGAGAUCUAAGUGACCUCACCUGACCGUCACAAUCCGGAAAGCGCUGACACGCUUAACACUCUUUGGGAAGGCGGUAGGUCAAAAAGCCCCCCUGUGGAUCCGUGCCAGGUUCCAGGCCCUCCUGUUCUCCCUGGGCUGCCACAUCCAGAGGCACUGCGGGAAGGUACUCUUUAUCGGA